UAGAUUCAGAGGAAAUCGAUCGAGAGAUCGGGUGGGUGUCAUAGAGAGCGAUAGACACAGACAAAAAGAGACAGAGAGAGAGGUUAUUUGCUCUGCAACGCAAGCCCGAAGGAAUCAUACAUAAACCGGCAAGACAAACAGAUCGAAAUUCAUGAAGGUCAAAUUAACAACAAGAAAACCCAUCGCUUCAGCUUUUGGGUUUUGGUUUAUUUUCUGGACACAGAGAAAGAUAGAGCGAAGUAAACAGGGGAAGAAGGGGGAGAAGAAGAGGCCCUCCCUUCAAAAUGUCCAUCAGUAGUGUGGAGUUUGCCAUCGGAGGCUUAAUCGUGGAUACCAAGGUGUUCUAUGGCCAAGAAAGGUCUUUUGCUAUGGAUUUCUGUGUGCUUAGCUUUGCUAAUUGAAGAAGAUGAAUGGGAAAAUGAGCUCUUCUUCAGCUUCAGAAGCAAGUCUGAUAUAAAGAGAAUAAAGGUGAGGCUAGGGACGAUUAAGAAGAAGAGGAACGCUGUGCUGAAGUAUCUGAAGAAUAAUGUUGCUCAUCUUCUCAAGAUUGGCCUUGAUAUUAAUGUAUAUGGAGGGGUGGAGCUGGGAGCAGCACAGCAGUUCAAAAAGUCAUGCCUGCUGCUCUAGCAGAUAUGACAUAAAGCAUACUUUCAACAAAUUGAAGAUGUUCAGAAAUAUUCAAAGGCUUUAACGGACAUGAAAAGGGAGUUCUUUCCAAACAAAAGACAUGAAUGAGCUGUUAGAGUUCCACAAGAAUUAGAUUCCAUUCUUGAACAUUUGAUUGGUUGAGACAUAGGUUUUAUCAAGGUUUGAAGGAAUCACUACAAAGAAGUUAAGAACUAUGAGGACAACAGCAGCACUCCACUCAUAAUUAAAUGCAAUGAUCACAGAACUACACAUUUGGAAAAUAGAGGCUCCCCUUUUGUCUGCUCAUUAAGAAGACUGAGCGUUAUUUCACCAAGAUCAGAAGGAAAAAUAGGUAAACCGGAGCAAACAAAAGAUGAAGAAAUUAAGAAAUUUCAGUCAAAAGACCCACCGACUUCAAUAUCCUCAUCCGGGUAAGAGAAGUUGCAUGGAGCUGGCGCUAAAGAGUAGUUCAACCUUAUGUUGUUGCAGGAAAUAAGAGAAGUACAGACCAGUGGAGAGGCGUAGGCUACUGGAACCCAAAAUUAUAAGAAGCAAUUCGAAGGAUGCGCUAAAAUCUCAAAAAUGCUCUGGAGGACAUUUCAGUAUGCGUUUAAGUUUGAGAGGAGAGCGAAGAGUUGAGAGGAAUAAUAGAGACCCCAGUGCUCACCACGAUAUCAACUAUUGAAGCUUCAACGUGCUAGAACUAGAAGGAAUGAGGAUGACCCGUAUGAGAAUAUGGAUGCCAAAAUCAACUGGGCUUUAGAGCAGGCCUUCAAUUUGAAGCUUGAUUUCAGUGAGACUGGGGAUGAUUUUGUUGUUUUUCGAAGACUGAUGCCGGAAUGAUGCUCAGGUAUGUACUAGAGAAACUCAAAGAGGGUUACAUUGAAGGAUUUAUAAAAAAUGGUUGCAUGUAAAACCCUCCUUUGAUGCUCUUAGAUAUUCUGGUGUUGGCUUCUCCAGUUCCGAAAUCUGUUAUUGGAUAUUCAUGUGGAGUUUAGAGAGAAGUACAAGAAGGAACAUCCCAGCAACAAAUCGGGGAGAGCUCCCUACCCGGCCAAGGCAGAGAAGAGAGGUUGAAUAGAACAACAUGGAAGUUUAUAACAAGAAACGAGUGUUUCUGUUUUAAUUGUUAAUCUCUGGGAAAUAUUGGUAUGAUCACUGAACACUGUACAGUGGAAUCUGUUAAAGGGUUGAAAGUUGUGUCACUCUGUUGUGACUAUUUCAGUCACCAACAACAAAAGGCUACCUCCAAACUGACCCUCUCCUUACAACACAGCAAGAGUAGUAGAGGAAAUGAACUGCUUGAAGAUGGUUGUAGGUCAUGUGCUAUCUCUCACUAUUCUUGCAUUUUUUUGCAGUUUUUGUGCCCGUGAGGCAUAAGCUCCUCCACUGGUUGCUGCUUCGGAUUGUGAGAGAAUAAUUACCGUGCUUCGGGUGGUUUUGGGUUUAUAGUUAUCUCUCAAGGAAUGAGCUUUUCCUUUGUAAAGGUCUGAUUCUCAAUUUCUAACAAUGCAAGUAAUUUGAAUAUGUGUGUAUUUUUGAAUGAACCCUACA